rnacentral:rRNA from 1 species
GAUGAACGCUGGCGGCGUGCUUAACACAUGCAAGUCGAACGGAAAGGCCAGUGCUUGCACUGGUACUCGAGUGGCGAACGGGUGAGUAACACGUGGGUGAUCUGCCCUGCACUUCGGGAUAAGCCUGGGAAACUGGGUCUAAUACCGGAUAGGACAAUGGUUUGGAUGCCGUUGUGGAAAGUUUUUUCGGUGUGGGAUGAGCUCGCGGCCUAUCAGCUUGUUGGGGGGGUAAUGGCCUACCAAGGCGUCGUCGGGUAGCCGGCCUGUGAGGGGGUACUGGGACAUUGGGAGAGAGAUACAGCGCAGAGACCUACGGGGGGGAGCAAAGGGGAAUAUUGCGCAAUGGGGGCGAGACUGAUACAGAGAAGCGGCGUGGGGGAUGACGGCCCUCGGGUGGUGAACACCUUUCGCGAGUGAGGAAGCGUAUUUGUGACGGUACCUGGAAAAGAAGCACCGGCUAACUACGUG